CUCAAAAAAAAAAAAAAACCUGGCUUUAUAUGGACCAUUGAAAUAUGCACACAUAGUUCUAAAAAUUUUAUAUUUGAGAUAACAUGAUUUUUAUGUUAAAAAUAGAGAGGUAACAUAAUUUCUAAAUAUUAUUGAAUAUUUCGCUAUAUGAAAUGCAAAGUACAAACAAUGAUGAUGUAUUCUUACAAGUAUAUAUUUUCUAAACCUUUUAAUUUUGGGAGUUUACCGCAUUUCUUAAUUAUACCAUAUUUGACAUGGAUAUUUAAUCAUUCAUCAGCAUGGGGUAAUGUUGAUAGAAUGGUCGCAUAUAUUGGUUUCAACGAGAAGGAAAGGUCUAUAUACACCAACAAUCUAUUCUAUUAAAACAGCAGUGUGACCCAUUGAUAAAAAGUUAUGUCCAACUUAAAUUUUAAUAAUACAUACCUUUUUAAUAUAAC
rnacentral:lncRNA from 1 species